UACGAAGGGGGCUAGCGUUGUCCGGAUUUACUGGGCGUAAAGCGCGCGCAGGCGGCACUGUAAGUAAGGUGUGAAAUCUCCCUGCUCAACGGGGAGGGUGCACUUUAGACUGCAGAGCUAGAGGACGGUAGAGGGGGGUGGAAUUGCUGGUGUAGCGGUGAAAUGCGUAGAGAUCAGCAGGAACACCCGUGGCGAAGGCGGCCCCCUGGGCCGAACCUGACGCUGAGGCGCGAAGGCUAGGGGAGCGAACGGG
rnacentral:rRNA from 1 species